GGCGAAGGAGGCGGCGUGCCAGGCGCAGGGCUGGGAGGCGCAGGCGACGGCGGGGGCACACCCGGCGUGGGGCUGGGCGGCUCCGGCGAAGGCGGCGGAGUACCAGGCGCAGGGCUGGGAGGCGCAGGCGACGGCGGGGGUACACCCGGACCGGGGCUGGGCGGCUCCGGCGAAGGCGGCGGCGUGCCAGGCGCAGGGCUGGGAGGCGCAGGCGACGGCGGGGGCACGCCCGGCGCGGGGCUGGGCGGCUCCGGCGAAGGAGGCGGCGUGCCAGGCGCAGGGCUGGGAGGCGCAGGCGACGGCGGGGGCACACCCGGUCCGGGGCUGGGCGGCUCCGGCGAAGGCGGCGGCGUGCCAGGCGCAGGGCUGGGAGGCGCAGGCGACGGCGGGGGCACACCCGGCGCGGGGCUGGGCGGCUCCGGCGAAGGCGGCGGCGUGCCAGGCGCAGGGCUGGGAGGCGCAGGCGACGGCGGGGGCACACCCGGCGCGGGGCUGGGCGGCUCCGGCGAAGGCGGCGGCGUGCCAGGCGCAGGGCUGGGAGGCGCAGGCGACGGCGGGGGCACACCCGGCGCGGGGCUGGGCGGCUCCGGCGAAGGCGGUGGCGUGCCAGGCGCAGGGCUGGGAGGCGCAGGCGACGGCGGGGGCACACCCGGCGCGGGGCUAGGCGGCUCUGGCGAAGGCGGCGGCGUACCAGGCGCAGGGCUGGGAGGCGCAGGCGACGGCGGGGGCACACCCGGACCGGGGCUGGGCGGCUCCGGCGAAGGUGGCGGCGUGCCAGGCGCGGGGCUGGGAGGCGCAGGCGACGGCGGGGGCACACCCGGCGCGGGGCUGGGCGGCUCCGGCGAAGGCGGCGCAGGGCUGGGAGGCGCAGGGCUGGGCGGCUCCGGCGAAGGCGGCGGCGUGCCAGGCGCAGGGCUGGGAGGCGAAGGCGAAGGCGGGGGCACACCCGGCGCGGGGCUGGGCGGCUCCGGCGAAGGCGGCGGCGUGCCAGGCGCAGGGCUGGGAGGCGCAGGCGACGGCGGGGGCACACCCGGCGCGGGGCUGGGCGGCUCCGGCGAAGGUGGCGGCGUGCCAGGCGCAGGGCUGGGAGGCGCAGGCGACGGCGGGGGUACACCCGGACCGGGGCUGGGCGGCUCCGGCGAAGGCGGCGGCGUGCCAGGCGCAGGGCUGGGAGGCGCAGGCGACGGCGGGGGCACACCCGGCGCGGGGCUGGGCGGCUCCGGCGAAGGUGGCGGCGUGCCAGGCGCAGGGCUGGGAGGCGCAGGCGACGGCGGGGGCACACCCGGCGCGGGGCUGGGCGGCUCCGGCGAAGGCGGCGGCGUGCCAGGCGCAGGGCUGGGAGGCGCAGGCGACGGCGGGGGCACGCCCGGCGCGGGGCUGGGCGGCUCCGGCGAAGGCGGCGGCGUGCCAGGCGCAGGGCUGGGAGGCGCAGGCGACGGCGGGGGCACGCCCGGACCGGGGCUGGGCGGCUCCGGCGAAGGCGGCGGCGUGCCAGGCGCAGGGCUGGGAGGCGCAGGCGACGGCGGGGGCACACCCGGCGCGGGGCUGGGCGGCUCCGGCGAAGGCGGCGGAGUACCAGGCGCAGGGCUGGGAGGGGCAGGCGACGGCGGGGGCACACCCGGCGCGGGGCUGGGCGGCUCCGGCGAAGGCGGCGGCGUGCCAGGCGCAGGGCUGGGAGGCGCAGGGCGACGGCGGGGGCACACCCGGCGCGGGGCUGGGCGGCUCCGGCGAAGGCGGCGGCGUGCCAGGCGCAGGGCUGGGAGGCGCAGGCGACGGCGGGGGCACACCCGGCGCGGGGCUGGGCGGCUCCGGCGAAGGUGGCGGCGUGCCAGGCGCAGGGCUGGGAGGCGCAGGCGACGGCGGGGGCACACCCGGACCGGGGCUGGGCGGCUCCGGCGAAGGCGGCGGCGUGCCAGGCGCAGGGCUGGGAGGCGCAGGCGACGGCGGGGGCACACCCGGCGCGGGGCUGGGCGGCUCCGGCGAAGGCGGCGGCGUGCCAGGCGCAGGGCUGGGAGGUGCAGGCGACGGCGGGGGCACACCCGGCGCGGGGCUGGGCGGCUCCGGCGAAGGCGGUGGCGUGCCAGGCGCAGGGCUGGGAGGCGCAGGCGACGGCGGGGGCACACCCGGCGCGGGGCUAGGCGGCUCUGGCGAAGGCGGCGCAGGGCUGGGAGGCGCAGGGCUGGGAGGCGCAGGCGACGGCGGGGGCACACCCGGUGCGGGGCUGGGCGGCUCCGGCGAAGGCGGCGGAGUACCAGGCGCAGGGCUGGGAGGCGCAGGCGACGGCGGGGGCACGCCCGGACCGGGGCUGGGCGGCUCCGGCGAAGGUGGCGGCGCACCAGGCGCGGGGCUGGGAGGCGCAGGCGACGGCGGGGGCACGCCCGGCGCGGGGCUGGGCGGCUCCGGCGAAGGAGGCGGCGUGCCAGGCGCAGGGCUGGGAGGCGCAGGCGACGGCGGGGGCACACCCGGUCCGGGGCUGGGCGGCUCCGGCGAAGGCGGCGGCGUGCCAGGCGCAGGGCUGGGAGGCGCAGGCGACGGCGGGGGCACACCCGGCGCGGGGCUGGGCGGCUCCGGCGAAGGCGGCGGCGUGCCAGGCGCAGGGCUGGGAGGCGCAGGCGACGGCGGGGGCACACCCGGCGCGGGGCUGGGCGGCUCCGGCGAAGGCGGCGGCGUGCCAGGCGCAGGGCUGGGAGGCGCAGGCGACGGCGGGGGCACACCCGGCGCGGGGCUGGGCGGCUCCGGCGAAGGCGGUGGCGUGCCAGGCGCAGGGCUGGGAGGCGCAGGCGACGGCGGGGGCACACCCGGCGCGGGGCUAGGCGGCUCUGGCGAAGGCGGCGGCGUACCAGGCGCAGGGCUGGGAGGCGCAGGCGACGGCGGGGGCACACCCGGACCGGGGCUGGGCGGCUCCGGCGAAGGUGGCGGCGUGCCAGGCGCGGGGCUGGGAGGCGCAGGCGACGGCGGGGGCACACCCGGCGCGGGGCUGGGCGGCUCCGGCGAAGGCGGCGCAGGGCUGGGAGGCGCAGGGCUGGGAGGCGCAGGCGACGGCGGGGGCACACCCGGCGCAGGGCUGGGCGGCUCCGGCGAAGGCGGUGGCGUGCCAGGCGCAGGGCUGGGAGGCGCAGGCGACGGCGGGGGCACACCCGGCGCGGGGCUAGGCGGCUCUGGCGAAGGCGGCGCAGGGCUGGGAGGCGCAGGGCUGGGAGGCGCAGGCGACGGCGGGGGCACACCAGGUCCGGGGCUGGGCGGCUCCGGCGAAGGCGGCGGCGUGCCAGGCGCAGGGCUGGGAGGCGCAGGCGACGGAGGGGGCACACCCGGCGCGGGGCUGGGCGGCUCCGGCGAAGGCGGCGGCGUGCCAGGCGCAGGGCUGGGAGGCGCAGGCGACGGAGGGGGCACACCCGGCGCGGGGCUGGGCGGCUCCGGCGAAGGCGGCGGCGUGCCAGGCGCAGGGCUGGGAGGCGCAGGCGACGGCGGGGGCACACCCGGACCGGGGCUGGGCGGCUCCGGCGAAGGCGGCGGCGUGCCAGGCGCAGGGCUGGGAGGCGCAGGCGACGGCGGGGGCACACCCGGCGCGGGGCUAGGCGGCUCUGGCGAAGGCGGCGCAGGGCUGGGAGGCGCAGGGCUGGGAGGCGCAGGCGACGGCGGGGGCACACCCGGCGCGGGGCUGGGCGGCUCCGGCGAAGGAGGCGGCGUGCCAGGCGCAGGGCUGGGAGGCGCAGGCGACGGAGGGGGCACACCCGGCGCGGGGCUGGGCGGCUCCGGCGAAGGCGGCGGCGCGCCAGGCGCAGGGCUAGGAGGCGCAGGCGACGGCGGGGGCACACCCGGCGCAGGGCUGGGCGGCUCUGGCGAAGGAGGCGGCGUGCCAGGCGCAGGGCUGGGAGGCGCAGGCGACGGAGGGGGCACACCCGGCGCGGGGCUGGGCGGCUCCGGCGAAGGCGGCGGCGCGCCAGGCGCAGGGCUAGGAGGCGCAGGCGACGGCGGGGGCACACCCGGCGCGGGGCUGGGCGGCUCCGGCGAAGGCGGCGGCGUGCCAGGCGCAGGGCUGGGAGGCGCAGGCGACGGCGGGGGCACACCAGGUCCGGGGCUAGGCGGCUCUGGCGAAGGCGGCGGCGUGCCAGGCGCAGGGCUGGGAGGCGCAGGCGACGGAGGGGGCACACCCGGCGCGGGGCUGGGCGGCUCCGGCGAAGGCGGCGGCGUGCCAGGCGCAGGGCUGGGAGGCGCAGGCGACGGCGGGGGCACACCCGGCGCGGGGCUGGGCGGCUCCGGCGAAGGCGGCGGCGUGCCAGGCGCAGGGCUGGGAGGCGCAGGCGACGGCGGGGGCACACCCGGCGCGGGGCUAGGCGGCUCCGGCGAAGGCGGCGGAGUACCAGGCGCAGGGCUGGGAGGCGCAGGCGACGGCGGGGGCACACCAGGUCCGGGGCUGGGCGGCUCCGGCGAAGGAGGCGGCGUGCCAGGCGCAGGGCUGGGAGGCGCAGGCGACGGAGGGGGCACACCCGGCGCGGGGCUGGGCGGCUCCGGCGAAGGCGGCGGCGCGCCAGGCGCAGGGCUAGGAGGCGCAGGCGACGGCGGGGGCACACCCGGCGCAGGGCUGGGCGGCUCCGGCGAAGGAGGCGGCGUGCCAGGCGCAGGGCUGGGAGGCGCAGGCGACGGCGGGGGCACACCCGGCGCGGGGCUAGGCGGCUCUGGCGAAGGCGGCGCAGGGCUGGGAGGCGCAGGGCUGGGAGGCGCAGGCGACGGCGGGGGCACACCCGGCGCGGGGCUGGGCGGCUCCGGCGAAGGCGGCGGCGUGCCAGGCGCAGGGCUGGGAGGCGCAGGCGACGGCGGGGGCACACCCGGCGCAGGGCUGGGCGGCUCCGGCGAAGGCGGCGGCGUGCCAGGCGCAGGGCUGGGAGGCGCAGGCGACGGAGGGGGCACACCCGGCGCGGGGCUAGGCGGCUCCGGCGAAGGCGGCGGCGUGCCAGGCGCAGGGCUGGGAGGCGCAGGCGACGGCGGGGGCACACCCGGCGCGGGGCUGGGCGGCUCCGGCGAAGGCGGCGGCGUGCCAGGCGCAGGGCUGGGAGGCGCAGGCGACGGCGGGGGCACACCCGGCGCGGGGCUGGGCGGCUCCGGCGAAGGUGGCGGAGUACCAGGCGCAGGGCUGGGAGGCGCAGGCGACGGCGGGGGCACACCCGGCGCAGGGCUGGGCGGCUCCGGCGAAGGCGGCGGCGUGCCAGGCGCAGGGCUAGGAGGCGCAGGCGACGGAGGGGGCACACCCGGCGCGGGGCUAGGCGGCUCCGGCGAAGGUGGCGGCGUACCAGGCGCAGGGCUGGGAGGCGCAGGCGACGGCGGGGGCACACCCGGCGCGGGGCUGGGCGGCUGCGGCGAAGGUGGCGGCGUACCAGGCGCAGGGCUGGGAGGCGCAGGCGACGGCGGGGGCACACCCGGCGCGGGGCUAGGCGGCUCCGGCGAAGGCGGCGGAGUACCAGGCGCAGGGCUGGGAGGCGCAGGCGACGGCGGGGGCACACCCGGCGCGGGGCUAGGCGGCUCCGGCGAAGGCGGCGGAGUACCAGGCGCAGGGCUGGGAGGCGCAGGCGACGGCGGGGGCACACCCGGCGCGGGGCUAGGCGGCUCCGGCGAAGGUGGCGGAGUACCAGGCGCAGGGCUGGGAGGCGCAGGCGACGGCGGGGGCACACCAGGUCCGGGGCUGGGCGGCUCCGGCGAAGGUGGCGGCGUGCCAGGCGCAGGGCUGGGAGGCGCAGGCGACGGCGGGGGCACACCCGGCGCGGGGCUGGGCGGCUGCGGAGAAGGAGGCGGCGUGCCAGGCGCAGGGCUGGGAGGCGCAGGCGACGGCGGGGGCACACCCGGCGCGGGGCUGGGCGGCUCCGGCGAAGGCGGCGGCGCGCCAGGCGCAGGGCUGGGAGGCGCAGGCGACGGCGGGGGCACACCCGGCGCGGGGCUAGGCGGCUCUGGCGAAGGCGGCGGCGUGCCAGGCGCAGGGCUGGGAGGCGCAGGCGACGGAGGGGGCACACCCGGCGCGGGGCUGGGCGGCUCCGGCGAAGGCGGCGGCGUGCCAGGCGCAGGGCUGGGAGGCGCAGGCGACGGAGGGGGCACACCCGGCGCGGGGCUGGGCGGCUCCGGCGAAGGCGGCGGCGUGCCAGGCGCAGGGCUGGGAGGCGCAGGCGACGGCGGGGGCACACCCGGCGCGGGGCUGGGCGGCUCCGGCGAAGGCGGCGGCGUGCCAGGCGCAGGGCUGGGAGGCGCAGGCGACGGCGGGGGCACACCCGGCGCGGGGCUAGGCGGCUCCGGCGAAGGCGGCGGAGUACCAGGCGCAGGGCUGGGAGGCGCAGGCGACGGCGGGGGCACACCAGGUCCGGGGCUGGGCGGCUCCGGCGAAGGAGGCGGCGUGCCAGGCGCAGGGCUGGGAGGCGCAGGCGACGGCGGGGGCACACCCGGCGCGGGGCUGGGCGGCUCCGGCGAAGGCGGCGGAGUACCAGGCGCAGGGCUGGGAGGCGCAGGCGACGGCGGGGGCACACCCGGCGCGGGGCUAGGCGGCUCCGGCGAAGGCGGCGGAGUACCAGGCGCAGGGCUGGGAGGCGCAGGCGACGGCGGGGGCACACCCGGCGCGGGGCUAGGCGGCUCCGGCGAAGGCGGCGGCGUACCAGGCGCAGGGCUGGGAGGCGCAGGCGACGGCGGGGGCACACCCGGCGCGGGGCUAGGCGGCUCCGGCGAAGGUGGCGGCGUACCAGGCGCAGGGCUGGGAGGCGCAGGCGACGGCGGGGGCACACCCGGCGCGGGGCUGGGCGGCUCCGGCGAAGGAGGCGGCGUGCCAGGCGCAGGGCUGGGAGGCGCAGGCGACGGAGGGGGCACACCCGGCGCGGGGCUGGGCGGCUCCGGCGAAGGCGGCGGCGUGCCAGGCGCAGGGCUGGGAGGCGAAGGCGAAGGCGGGGGCACACCCGGACCGGGGCUGGGCGGCUCCGGCGAAGGCGGCGCAGGGGUGGGAGGCGCAGGGCUGGGAGGCGCAGGCGACGGCGGGGGCACACCCGGCGCGGGGCUGGGCGGCUCCGGCGAAGGCGGUGGCGUGCCAGGCGCAGGGCUGGGAGGCGCAGGCGACGGCGGGGGCACACCCGGCGCGGGGCUAGGCGGCUCUGGCGAAGGCGGCGCAGGGCUGGGAGGCGCAGGGCUGGGAGGCACAGGCGACGGCGGGGGCACACCCGGUGCGGGGCUGGGCGGCUCCGGCGAAGGCGGCGCAGGGCUGGGAGGCGCAGGGCUGGGAGGCGAAGGCGAAGGCGGGGGCACACCCGGUCCGGGGCUGGGCGGCUCCGGCGAAGGUGGCGGCGUGCCAGGCGCAGGGCUGGGAGGCGCAGGCGACGGCGGGGGCACACCCGGCGCGGGGCUGGGCGGCUCCGGCGAAGGCGGUGGCGUGCCAGGCGCAGGGCUGGGAGGCGCAGGCGACGGCGGGGGCACACCCGGCGCGGGGCUGGGCGGCUCCGGCGAAGGUGGCGGCGUGCCAGGCGCAGGGCUGGGAGGCGCAGGCGACGGCGGGGGCACACCCGGCGCAGGGCUGGGCGGCUCCGGCGAAGGCGGCGGCGUGCCAGGUGCAGGGCUGGGAGGCGCAGGCGACGGCGGGGGCACGCCCGGCGCGGAGCUGGGCGGCUCCGGCGAAGGCGGCGGCGUGCCAGGCGCAGGGCUGGGAGGCGCAGGCGACGGCGGGGGCACACCCGCCGCGGGGCUGGGCGGCUCCGGCGAAGGCGGCGGCGUGCCAGGCGCAGGGCUGGGAGGCGCAGGCGACGGCGGGGGCACACCCGGCGCGGGGCUGGGCGGCUCCGGCGAAGGUGGCGGCGUGCCAGGCGCAGGGCUGGGAGGCGCAGGCGACGGCGGGGGCACACCCGGCGCGGGGCUAGGCGGCUCUGGCGAAGGCGGCGCAGGGCUGGGAGGCGCAGGGCUGGGAGGCGCAGGCGACGGCGGGGGCACACCCGGUGCGGGGCUGGGCGGCUCCGGCGAAGGCGGCGGAGUACCAGGCGCAGGGCUGGGAGGCGCAGGCGACGGCGGGGGCACGCCCGGACCGGGGCUAGGCGGCUCUGGCGAAGGUGGCGGCGUACCAGGCGCGGGGCUGGGAGGCGCAGGCGACGGCGGGGGCACGCCCGGCGCGGGGCUGGGCGGCUCCGGCGAAGGAGGCGGCGUGCCAGGCGCAGGGCUGGGAGGCGCAGGCGACGGCGGGGGCACACCCGGUCCGGGGCUGGGCGGCUCCGGCGAAGGCGGCGGCGUGCCAGGCGCAGGGCUGGGAGGCGCAGGCGACGGCGGGGGCACACCCGGCGCGGGGCUGGGCGGCUCCGGCGAAGGCGGCGGCGUGCCAGGCGCAGGGCUGGGAGGCGCAGGCGACGGCGGGGGCACACCCGGCGCGGGGCUGGGCGGCUCCGGCGAAGGCGGCGGCGUGCCAGGCGCAGGGCUGGGAGGCGCAGGCGACGGCGGGGGCACACCCGGCGCGGGGCUGGGCGGCUCCGGCGAAGGCGGUGGCGUGCCAGGCGCAGGGCUGGGAGGCGCAGGCGACGGCGGGGGCACACCCGGCGCGGGGCUAGGCGGCUCUGGCGAAGGCGGCGGCGUACCAGGCGCAGGGCUGGGAGGCGCAGGCGACGGCGGGGGCACACCCGGACCGGGGCUGGGCGGCUCCGGCGAAGGUGGCGGCGUGCCAGGCGCGGGGCUGGGAGGCGCAGGCGACGGCGGGGGCACACCCGGCGCGGGGCUGGGCGGCUCCGGCGAAGGCGGCGCAGGGCUGGGAGGCGCAGGGCUGGGCGGCUCCGGCGAAGGCGGCGGCGUGCCAGGCGCAGGGCUGGGAGGCGAAGGCGAAGGCGGGGGCACACCCGGCGCGGGGCUGGGCGGCUCCGGCGAAGGUGGCGGCGUGCCAGGCGCAGGGCUGGGAGGUGCAGGCGACGGCGGGGGCACACCCGGCGCGGGGCUGGGCGGCUCCGGCGAAGUCGGCGGCGUGCCAGGCCUUUCCAGCACANNNNNNNNNNNNNNNNNNNNNNNNNNNNNNNNNNNNNNNNNNNNNNNNNNNNNNNNNNNNNNNNNNNNNNNNNNNNNNNNNNNNNNNNNNNNNNNNNNNNGGGCACCACAGGCGCGGGGCUAGGCGGCUCCGGCGAAGGCGGCGGAGUACCAGGCGCAGGGCUGGGAGGCGCAGGCGACGGCGGGGGCACACCCGGCGCGGGGCUAGGCGGCUCCGGCGAAGGUGGCGGCGUACCAGGCGCAGGGCUGGGAGGCGCAUGCGACGGCGGGGGCACACCAGGUCCGGGGCUGGGCGGCUCCGGCGAAGGCGGCGGCGUGCCAGGCGCAGGGCUGGGAGGCGCAGGCGACGGAGGGGGCACACCCGGCGCGGGGCUGGGCGGCUCCGGCGAAGGCGGCGGCGUGCCAGGCGCAGGGCUGGGAGGCGCAGGCGACGGAGGGGGCACACCCGGCGCGGGGCUGGGCGGCUCCGGCGAAGGCGGCGGCGUGCCAGGCGCAGGGCUGGGAGGCGCAGGCGACGGCGGGGGCACACCCGGCGCGGGGCUGGGCGGCUCCGGCGAAGGCGGCGGCGUGCCAGGCGCAGGGCUGGGAGGCGCAGGCGACGGCGGGGGCACACCCGGCGCGGGGCUAGGCGGCUCCGGCGAAGGCGGCGGAGUACCAGGCGCAGGGCUGGGAGGCGCAGGCGACGGCGGGGGCACACCAGGUCCGGGGCUGGGCGGCUCCGGCGAAGGAGGCGGCGUGCCAGGCGCAGGGCUGGGAGGCGCAGGCGACGGAGGGGGCACACCCGGCGCGGGGCUGGGCGGCUCCGGCGAAGGCGGCGGCGCGCCAG
rnacentral:lncRNA from 1 species